rnacentral:rRNA from 1 species
ACGGCGAGUGAAGAGGGAAAAGCCCAAAUUUGUAAUCUGGCUCUUUUAUAAGGGUCCGAGUUGUAAUUUUGAGAACUGUUUUCUGUGCUGGACCAUGUACAAGUCUGUUGAAAAACAGCAUCAUUGAGGGUGAUAAUCCCGUACGUGAUAUGGACUACCAGGGCAAUAUGAUACAGUCUCUAAGAGUCGAGUUGUUUGGGAAUGCAGCUCAAAGUGGGUGGUAAAUUCCAUCUAAGGCUAAAUAUAGGUGAGAGACCGAUAGCAAACAAGUACCGUGAGGGAAAGAUGAAAAGAACUUUGGAAAGAGAGUUAACAGUACGUGAAAUUGUUAAAAGGGAAACAUUUGAAGUUAGACUUGUUAUUGUUGGUUCAGCUUCUUUAUUGAGGUGUAUUCUGAUGAUUAACAGACCAGCAUCAAUUUUUGGGUGUUGGAUAAGGGUUUUGGGAAUGUGGCAGCUUUGGUUGUGUUAUAGACCAUUACUUUGAUACAAUGCUUAGGAUUGAGGAACGCAGUAAGC